CAAACCAAGACCAGCAUUACCUUAGUAUCCUGAAUACCGGGACUAUGAUUCUGACCUGAAACUGAGGACUUUUUAUAACACUCUAACUGAACACUUACAAAGAUUACAAAUCAUCUGGGGUGUUAUUGGGAAACAUUUAGGAUGACGAGAAAAGAACUGAGAAUCGUGUUCAUACUGUGUAUCAUUCUGAGAUCUGUAACUGGAGAAAGCACAAAUGACACAUCUACAACAACAACACCUACAAACGCAACAGCUACCACACAAGCAAAUGCUACUACUGGUAAUGUAACAGUUUCGACAGCAACUACAAACGCUACAGCUACUACACAAGCAAAUGCUACUACUGGUAAUGUAACAGUUUUGACAGCAACUACAAACACUA